GCUACUGUAGCGCAGUCGGUAGCGCAACUGAUUCGUAAUCAGUAGGUCGCCGGUUCGAGUCCGGCCAGUAGCU
rnacentral:tRNA from 1 species